UAAUUUAUAGUUUAUGGUGGUGCAGGGAAUUAAUUUGGAUCUAAUAGAAAUCCCAUCGGUUUUUCAAGAAUACCGUAGGCACCCACAGCUAACCUGAAAAAAGGUGUGAAAUAUAUGUACCACUCGGAAUAGAAAGAGAAUUGGAAUCCUCAACCGUGCAUUUAACCUGUAAGAA